CAAAGGCUGUCUGGGGCCCCCUCCUCCUACCUUGAAUCAUUAGAUCAGUCUCCAGCAACAGCAACGCUGCCUGAGUCUGGCAGCUUUUGCAACAAGGAACUACAACCAGAAACGAGGCAAAACCUUUGGGCUACAACACUAGACAGAGGAUCCUGUUGGGGAAGCCCUUCCUGCAGAUCCUGAUGCCUUCCAGCACACCGUUACAGCGCAGCUGGUGCAUCACCAGAGGGUUCUCCAUGGCCCCAGGAGUCUUGGUCUCAUUGGGGAUGAUGCAGCGUACAAAGUGAGGUGACCUUAUCCCCAUCUCGACUGACGAUGCUUGCUUUGAUAAACUCUUCGACCACAUCAGGGACGAAGCAUUCCUUCUUCAUGUCGAAGGGCCGUGUCGAGGCCUCCAUACGCUCUCUAUCCGACUUUCUCAGGUAUGGGGCAGCCUCCCCAAAAACAGACAUCUCUGCAUCCCCCAUGGCUGCACGACGGUUACUUAUGGGACAGAGGUUUGGAGUUUAGUCUCUGUCUCUGGGAUAUCUCAAAAUCUGUAUUGUGAUUCUUAUAAAAUAUAUGUUUGAAGGAAAACAUCACUUUACUGCCACUCUAUCUUUGUUUAGUACGCUGUGAACUUUUUAAUUCAACUAAAUCUAAAAUCUAUUCAAAAAUGUAUUUUGAAAAAAAAAAAGAAAAAAAAAAACGUAAUUCAUUAUGCGCUACAUGACAA